CAACCAGUAACUGGCAGCUCCUCCUUUUUUCUGUUGCUGUCUGUAAUGGUUGUAUGUAUUAGGAUCAGCUCUGUGUUCUCUUUACAGGGCCUCCAGCAGCCAUUGGUCGCCUGCCCAUCACGUGGGAGGAAGUCGGAGAAAAUGCAAAAACCCAUUCAAGAAGCGGCAUGUAAAAAACAAAAACACUCCAGUCUGGAAUUUGAACAUUUUUGCUGCAAGGCAACAGAAAACAAUACAUCUGAGAUGGUUUUCUUAUUUCUUCUUUUGUACAAUUGUGUUUGCAUUCAUAUUUAAUCUUUUUAUUCUGAAACCUUAAAAUAAAAUAGAGCUACUUCAGUAAUUUAUUUUGGGGUCAACCGAA